UACGUAGGGGGCGAGCGUUGUCCGGAUUUAUUGGGCGUAAAGAGCUCGUAGGCGGCUUGGCAAGUCGGGUGUGAAACCUCCAGCUCAACCUGGAGACGCCACUCGAUACUGCCAUGGCUAGAGUCCGGUAGGGGACCACGGAAUUCCUGGUGUAGCGGUGAAAUGCGUAGAUAUCUGGAGGAACACCGGUGGCGAAGGCGGCAUCCUGGACCAACACUGAACGCUGAGGAGCGAAAAGCCAGGGGGAGCAAACGGG
rnacentral:rRNA from 1 species